rfam:Pseudoalteromonas porphyrae strain TCD-SED14 scaffold_17, whole genome shotgun sequence.
CGUUUUGGCUGAAUUAGUGAUCGGCUAAGACACCUUUUAAAUUUUAUUUUUGGAGUUAUUAUGUCACUAAGUAAUCAAGAAAAGAUCGAUAUCAUUGCAAAAUUCGCACGCGCUGAA